UGUAAAUGUUACUUUCGAUAAUACAAAUGCACUUAAUUUCUAAUCAUUUUUACGUAAAUAUAUAAAAUGUAACGUAAAUGUAAAUAUUUUCUUAAAUAUGAUGUUAUGGUUGAUGUUGAUGUUAUGGUUGAUGACCUCUUUUUUGACUUUUUAUUCGUAUUUAUUCUUAUUUAGUGUGUCUGUAUUAAACUUUAUAUCUGAACUAUAAAUUUAUAAUUGCGAUAUCAGAAGACCAAACUAGUUGCAUUUAUGUUUAAAUACAAUAGUCUGAUUUCUGUGUCUAGUAAUACAAAGAAAGAUGUAUUUUUAUUAUUUUGUUUCAUGCAAUAUAAUAUGGCCAAGAAAUGUAACCGUUACUAAAUGAAUAGUAACAGGAUUUUUAAAACGCAUUCUACAUUUCGACAAUAACGUAUCUUUCAUUUAAAAAAAUACAUUGUGACCUGUUAUACCUACGAUAAAUCAGUUAUUUUUAAUUAUAUAUUAUAUAAGUAGCGUCUUUCAUUUAUUCUUUUAUGUUUUGUAAUAAAACCCAUUGUUGAAUGUACACUUUCGUCUAUCAACCAUAAUAUUAUAGAUAUCGUUAUAUCUAUAAUUUAAUGUUAAGAAACAAAAUAUAAAUGUUUCAGAAUCUGGUAGGUAUUGCUUAAAAAUAGGUGCUAUGUAACGUAUACAUAUAGGUGUGCACUUAUUCAUAUAAAUAACAUAUAAAAACUGAAAUGCAAAUGACAUUGACAAUAUAUGUUAAUAACUUUGGAUUUCAAAAUUGUGUGCUAUGACGCUUUAGAUCUAUCCGUUUAUCUUAGUCUCAUCUAUAUAUAAUUUUGAAAUAGAGAAAUAAAAUUUUGAAUAAAUAAGACUAUUCUUAAAUAGAAUGUACAGUGAUCUACAGUAAAAGUUAUGAAAGUUUUAAUUUGUUUAAAAUAAUUUUGCUAAAAAUAUAAUUAUACGUACUGCAUUAUUAAUUUGUAUAUAAAGGUAUUAUUAUAUUUAAUUAUAAAUAAAUAUGUAUACCACUAUUUAAUUCAUUUUACCUUUGUUGUAGAAAUUAUUAAGAAAAUAUAAACUUAAAAAAGUCCAGUAACGCGUAGAUUACUGUACAUUGACACGAUAAUUUAUUUCACUGUAGUAAAGGCAAAUAUUUUUAUCGGAAUAUUUUAGAAUAUAGUCAUAAUGGUUUGGUUUAAAUAUCAAAUAACAACCUUACUCAGACAAUUAUUCAAUAAAUUUUAAUUAAAACUAA
rnacentral:misc_RNA from 1 species